rnacentral:tRNA from 1 species
AGAGAUUUAGGUUAAAAAAACUAAUAGCCUUCAAAGCUUUAAAUGAUCAAAAAUCAAUCUUUA